UUGCCUAAGAAAACCCAGCCAGUGAAGGAGACAGAGAUAAUUCAAUAUCAUCAUCUGCUGCCUUCCUCUGCUGGUAGCUCUGCAGUGCAGGACAGAGAUCAAACAAGAGUGUUUAAAAAAAUUAUCCCCCUGGAAAGGGUGAAUGUCUCCCUUGUGAGGGAUCUGAGCUCUGCCUGGAAGAAAGAGGUGGAGACCAACAUUGCUGUGCCCUGCAGCAGAGAAGUGGGUGAGGUCUUGCAGGCAAGGGAGGGGAGCUGAAGUGAUCCAACCAGAAAAAGCAGACCAGUGAAAGAUCUGGGAACCAGAAAAAGCAGACCAGUGAAAGAUCGAAUCCUACUGGAAGCAACCUUAGUGCAAGAGUGAAAAAGGAUCACUGAGCCCCACCCAAGGGAUUUGUUUGGGGGGGUUGUUU